rnacentral:rRNA from 1 species
UACAGAGGGGGCAAGCGUUGUUCGGAAUUACUGGGCGUAAAGGGCGCGUAGGCGGCCUUCUAAGUCGAACGUGAAAUCCCCGGGCUCAACCCGGGAACUGCGUCCGAUACUGGAAGGCUUGAGUUUGGGAGAGGGAUGCGGAAUUCCAGGUGUAGCGGUGAAAUGCGUAGAUAUCUGGAGGAACACCGGUGGCGAAGGCGGCAUCCUGGACCAACACUGACGCUGAGUGAGCGAAAGCCAGGGGAGCAAACGGG